rnacentral:rRNA from 1 species
UUACCGUGAAAAAAUUAGAGUGUUCAAAGCAGGCAGAUCCAAUUUUCUGCCACCGAAUACAUUAGCAUGGGAUAAUGGAAUAGGACCCUGUCCUCCUAUUUUCAGUUGGUUUUGGCAGCGCGAGGACUAGGGUAAUGAUUAAUAGGGAUAGUUGGGGGCAUUAAUAUUUAAUUGUCAGAGGUGAAAUUCUUGGAUUUAUGAAAGAUUAACUUCUGCGAAAGCAUCUGCCAAGGAUGUUUUCAUUAAUCAAGAACGAAAGUUAGGGGAUCGAAGACGAUCAGAUACCGUCGUAGUCUUAACCAUAAACGAUGCCGACCAGCGAUUAGGAGACGUUGAAUACAAAACACCACCAUCGGCGCGGUCGUCCUUGGCGUCGGUCUUUCGGGGCCGGCGCGGGGGCGGCUUAGCCCGGUGGCACCGGUGAAUGACUCCCUA